AUUGAACGCUGGCGGCAGGCCUAACACAUGCAAGUCGGACGGUAGCACAGAGAGCUUGCUCUUGGGUGACGAGUGGCGGACGGGUGAGUAAUGUCUGGGGAUCUGCCCGAUAGAGGGGGAUAACCACUGGAAACGGUGGCUAAUACCGCAUAACGUCGCAAGACCAAAGAGGGGGACCUUCGGGCCUCUCACUAUCGGAUGAACCCAGAUGGGAUUAGCUAGUAGGCGGGGUAAUGGCCCACCUAGGCGACGAUCCCUAGCUGGUCUGAGAGGAUGACCAGCCACACUGGAACGGAGACACGGUCCAGACUCCUACGGGAGGCAGCAGUGGGGAAUAUUGCACAAUGGGCGCAAGCCUGAUGCAGCCAUGCCGCGUGUAUGAAGAAGGCCUUCGGGUUGUAAAGUACUUUCAGCGGGGAGGAAGGCGGUGAGGUUAAUAACCUCACCGAUUGACGUUACCCGCAGAAGAAGCACCGGCUAACUCCGUGCCAGCCGCCGCCGUAA
rnacentral:rRNA from 1 species